GCUGGUAAUAUGAUUGUGAGUGUGUGUGGAAUUUAUUCAUGUAUGAUAUGAUGAUUAUAAUGAGUUUGUUAUUGGUUAUGUGCAUGACAUGUGUUUGUCGUAAUUCCAUGGAUCUUAUGGAAAGAUUCUAUGGUGGCAUUUUAGUAGUGUAAGUAUUGAUGUGGGAGUCCAAACGUUUGAGGUUGUCCUGAUAUUCUAAUAACCAUUCAAUCUCAAGUAGAGAAGGGUGAGGUAUGUGGUGAAAGGAGCAAAAGGCCCUAGUUUAAAGGCUUUACCUUGGCCUAAGGCAUUAACAGAC
rnacentral:lncRNA from 1 species